rnacentral:sRNA from 1 species
GCCCCCUGGCAACCCGAGUCGCGUCAUUGCGCAAGGCUUGGGGAGCGCUGUCGGGUUCCACGUGACUCCUCCUGGGGCCUCCGUCAAAGGGAAGGCGGGGAACACCAAGUGGGUUCGUGCCUCUCGCUUUGUGACUAGACCAUGCCAGAACUGGGACUGGUGACUGGGACUGGUGACUGGGGCUGCUGACUCUGGUGGCCAGCUGUGCUGCCGCCCUCUCUAUGAUGACUUUCUAGACCUUGGAAGAAACGAGAAAGGUUCAUCUUAUGUCUUUGAGUAUUCUGUCUGCGUGUGUGCAUGUGCGUCCGUCCCAUACAUGCCGUGCCUGGUGCUCACAGAGACCAAAAGAGGGCAUCUGAUCCCUUGGAACUGGAGCUACAGACAGUUGGACUGAACCACCCGGUUUGGCUCGGUGACUCAGCCCUGUGUCUGCUACUCGUCUGGAGGUCACCUGGGAGCUGUCCUGAUUAUCAGAUCUAUUAUUGCUGUCCUUGCCUCCAGGUCCAGGAGGCCAGAGGAUGGUAUCGAAUUCCCCGGAAGUGGAGUUAUGGGAAGUUGUGAGCCAUCAUGGGGACGCUGGAAAUCGAACCCAGGUCCUCUGCAAGGGCAGCAAGGGCUCUUAACCGCCGAGCCAUCCCGCCAGUCCCUAAGAGAUUUCGUGUUGUGUGUGUGUGUGUGUUUUUUUUAACAUCCUGAACUUUGAGCUGAUGUAAACGUGUUCAGUAAAACCACAGGAGUCCAUUGCUUCACGACAAGCCCGGAAAGAUUAGACUAUAAUUGAAAGAUGGUAUGACUCACAGUAGCACAUACCUUCAAGCUCUUUAUUUCCCCUUCAGAGAAACAAACAUGAAGGAGGCUUCUUUUCAAAGAAGCAGUUUUUCAAUGCGCACACUGAUGAAGUUCCUUCGGGGCUUCAUACUUUCACAACCAACUAAGCCAGCCAACCAAUCAACAAACGAAAAAAGAUGAAACAAAACCCCCAAAUUAAACUAACCAAAUUCGUUUUUGACCCUGCCUGACAAAGAAAAGAACUGAAACAACUAAACUACUUUCCCUUUCCUUUUGAGACAGGGUCUCGGUCUGUGUCCCAGAUCGGUCUGGAGUUCUAGAAGGUCCAGGAUGCAUAGUCUGGGAUGGCCUGAGUCCCUUUGCCCCAACAGCCUGAGUCCAGGGAUCACAGGCAUGAACCCCUGUGCCACACUCACUGUUCCUUGCUCCAUUCCUGUUUUUCUGCCCCUAGAUAACUAUGUCCUUCCCCUUGGAACAUUUACUUUAUUUUGAGAAGUGUCUGACUCUAAAACAAAAAGUUUGUCCAACUGAA